GAUGCAACGCGAAAAACCUUACCUACCCUUGACAUGUCAAGAAUUUUGCAGAGAUGUGAAAGUGCUCGAAAGAGAGCUUGAACACAGGUGCUGCAUGGCCGUCGUCAGCUCGUGUCGUGAGAUGUUGGGUUAAGUCCCGCAACGAGCGCAACCCUUGUCAUUAGUUGCUACGAAAGGGCACUCUAGUGAGACUGCCGGUGACAAACCGGAGGAAGGUGGGGAUGACGUCAGGUCCUCAUGGCCCUUAUGGGUAGGGCUACACACGUCAUACAAUGGCCGGUACAGAGGGCUGCCAACCCGCGAGGGGGAGCCAAUCCCAGAAAACCGGUCGUAGUCCGGAUCGUAGUCUGCAACUCGACUACGUGAAGUCGGAAUCGCUAGUAAUCGCGGAUCAGCAUGUCGCGGUGAAUACGUUCCCGGGUCUUGUACACACCGCCCGUCACACCAUGGGAGCGGGUUCUGCCAGAAGUAGUUAGCCUAACCGCAAGGAGGGCGAUUACCACGGCAGGGUUCGUGACUGGGGUGAAGUCGUAACAAGGUAACCGU
rnacentral:rRNA from 1 species